GAAGAUAGAGGUUGCGUUUUUCAAGAGUAUUUUUUCAGAGGUGACAGGCACCGUUGAAGGAAAAAGAAAGGGGAACACGCCGAAAGAUAAGAUAUCCUGUAUAUGUUAUCUUGGGCAUGCGUUUAAGAAGCGUAUGACUGUCAUCUCGUAAGCAGAUGGGGCGCUAUCAGA
rnacentral:ncRNA from 1 species